rnacentral:pre_miRNA from 2 species
CCUUAUCACUUUUCCAGCCCAGCUUUUCAUGACAAACUGUUGGACGGAGAACUGAUAAGGCU